CGAAUGCUGACAUAAGUAACGAUAAAGCGGGUGAAAAGCCCGCUCGCCGGAAGACCAAGGGUUCCUGUCCAACGUUAAUCGGGGCAGGGUGAGUCGACCCCUAAGGCGAGGCCGAAAGGCGUAGUCGAUGGGAAACAGGUUAAUAUUCCUGUACUUGGUGUUACUGCGAAGGGGGGACGGAGAAGGCUAUGUUGGCCGGGCGACGGUUGUCCCGGUUUAAGCGUGUAGGCUGGUUUUCCAGGCAAAUCCGGAAAAUCAAGGCUGAGGCGUGAUGACGAGGCACUACGGUGCUGAAGCAACAAAUGCCCUGCUUCCAGGAAAAGCCUCUAAGCAUCAGGUAACAUCAAAUCGUACCCCAAACCGACACAGGUGGUCAGGUAGAGAAUACCAAGGCGCUUGAGAGAACUCGGGUGAAGGAACUAGGCAAAAUGGUGCCGUAACUUCGGGAGAAGGCACGCUGAUAUGUAGGUGAAGUCCCUCGCGGAUGGAGCUGAAAUCAGUCGAAGAUACCAGCUGGCUGCAACUGUUUAUUAAAAACACAGCACUGUGCAAACACGAAAGUGGACGUAUACGGUGUGACGCCUGC
rnacentral:rRNA from 1 species